rnacentral:sRNA from 1 species
AUGCAUAAAUGUAUACAGAAACAGGUGGGGUCAAGCAGGGAGAGAGAAGGGGCCAGGGUAUAAAAAGGGCCCACAAGAGACUAGCUCCAGGAUCCCAAGGCCCAACUUCCGGAACCACUCAGGGUCCUGUGGACAGCUCACCUAGCUGCAAUGGCUGCAGGCUCCCAGACGUCCCUGCUCCUGGCUUUUGCCCUGCUCUGCCUGCCCUGGCUUCAAGAGGCUGGUGCCGUCCAAACCGUUCCCUUUUCCAGGCCUCUUGACCAUGCUAUGCUCCAAGCCCAUUGCGCGCACCAGCUGGCCAUUGACACCUACCAGGAGUUUAUAAGCUCUUGGGGAAUGGGUGCGGGUCAUGGGUGGCAAGAAGGGGUGACUUUCCCCCACUGGGGAAGUAAUGGGAGGAGACUAAGGAGCUCAGGGUUGUUUUCUGAAGCAAAAAUGCAGGCAGAUGAGCUUAGGCUGAGCCAGGUUCCCAGAAAAGUAACAAUGGGAGCUGGUCUCCAGCAUAGAAAGCAGCAGUCCUUCUUGGUGGGGGGUCCUUCUCCUAGGAAGAAGCCUAUAUCCCAAA